UGGAGAUAUUUUAGAUUGUCACCACUGGAGGAGUGCCAUUAGCAUCUAGUGGGUGGAGGCCAGGAAUACUGCUAAACAACCUAGAAUGCACAGGACAGCCUCCCACCACAAAGAAGUGUUCAGUCCAAAAUGUGAGUGGUGCCGCUGUUGAGAAACCCUGGGUCCUAUCUGAUUCUCAGUCUCUUUGUCUUUAAAAUGGGGAUAUCGACAUCAUCUCAUUGGGUUUUAUAAAGAGUAGAUCAAGUAACAGUUGACACUGGAUCGUCUGUUCUUCCACUAUCUCUUCCCUCUUUGAGGAACUGCCCUCAUCACUACAGCAUUAGAUUUCCAUGGGCUGACUGCCAACAACCCAGAGUUCCGUUUGGUUUCAUAAUGUUUGUCCCUAGCAGGCAUUUUGCAUAGUGUGACUCAGCCCCUUUGCCACAGUUGACUGGGUCAGGGGUGGACACUGGAUCCAAGCUAUAGCAGUAAGAAUUCUCUCUCCAGGGAGCUUGUAAUUUGUACUGAGAGUCGGGUCUGGCUGGUGUCUUGAAUGGAGAAUAUCAAAACCCUAAGUUGUGGUUGGUCAUUUCCUCACAGGUGGGUGGGAUGCAGUUUAUAACAAGAGAGGAGAAUGCAACAAUUAUGGAAAAAAGGCAGCCCCCUGGCCGCACCCUGCCCUUAGCUUCUGUAGGUCAUUUCUGCACCUUUGUGAGACUUUCUGCUUACCCUGUCUUCAGUUACGUGUUUCUUGUGCCCAAAGAACAAAAAAUAACCACUGAUAACAUAUAUAGCAGCACUUAGCAUGGUGCACAGGAAGAGUAACUCCUGAAUAAGUGGCAGUUAUUAUCAUCCCAUAUCAGAAAAAGUUGAGGCAUAGAGAUGAAAAAAUUUGUCUCGUGUCACACAGUUCUUGCACGGUAAAGCAGAUCUGGGAUCUGGGUCUCCCCACAUCUAGACUGAGGUUCUGUUUUGUCUAUCCUUCAAAUCAUGAAAUAAAACUUUCAGAAUAGUGCAUGGGUACGUCAGUCCCUAUGUACAGUUAAAAAUAACUCCAAGGGAACCUUGAUGUAUCUCACCCAGGACGGGAACCACACAACGGGCUGCUGCUCAGAAGACCUUCCUGAGACUCUCCCCGCUGCGCCUCCCUGCCAGAGUUUUAGAACUGGCCUCCUGGAGAGAAGCAUAUUUUUAGAGAGCAAGAGCGGAAGUGGAGGCCACGCGAGGCCGAAGGCGAUUGGGGGUCCAGUCUGGUGUGGCCGGGAGAACAGCCUUUGAAGCUACACCAGUUACUGGGCCUUUCAGGGAGGAGGCACACCACUCACCACAAUGAGAUUUCUCUAUUUGGUCCUGGUACUGGGCGGUGAGUUCCAAGAGCAUCAGAGAGACUUGUGGAUGACUCACACCAUAUGUCCCCACGUCCUUCCUACACUGACUCCAGUCCCAUUCAGUCCUCUGGAAAUGCCCCUUACUCACUCACUCCCCAGCCUAGUAAAGAUAUGGACCAUGAUGCACCCAGCGAAGGAGUGGGGCAUUUCUAAGGGCAAUGUGGCAAACCCAUCACAGAAAUGCAAAGAUGUAAGAAAGGUUCAGAAAUGUGUCCAGUAAGGUAGGGGUUGGGAGUGGAUUUGGAACUGAGGUUGGACAAGAAGAGUAGGCUAACGGGCUGUUACCAGUCUCCUGGAGGACAGGGGACCUGGACGUGACUCAUGCCCCAUGUCCCUGCCUCUUUCCUACACCAAGGCUCCACUCGGUACUGCAGAAACACUCCUCACUCCCUUCACCCACAGUGCCUUGGAAAGGUGUGGACAGAGAGACACCUGAGGAAGGGAGAGGAUGAGAAGCAAAGGGGCCAAAUCUAUAAGGUAAUACAUUCACAUAGGAAAUUUUCCCAUUCUUUUCCUCAUCUGCAGAGACACCCACUCCUCAUGUUAGAGGAACAACGGAGGACAGAGCUGUGAAGUCCACCCUGUUUGCAGUAGCCAGCCUCCAAGGUGUCUCCCACCUGCCUCCCCGGCUGUCUUCCCCUCUUCCCCCUUGUCGAUCCCCUCCAGCAGGAAUCAGGGCUGGCCUGUGUGAACAAUAGAAUUUCGUAAAAGCGACAGUGUCGGACUUCUGAGGCUAAGUCAUCAAAGAUAAUGCAGCGUCCACCUUGGCCUCUUGGUUAGUUGGUUUUAGAGGAAAAUCGCUACUUUGAGGACAGUCGGGCAUUCCUGUGGGGGAGCCCAUGUGGAGAGGGACUGAGGCCCCAGCCAAUCACCAGUACUACCUUGCCAGCUGGGAGCGAGCCAUCCUAGAAAUGGCUCCCCCAGCUCCGGCCAAGCCUUCAGACGACUUCCACACUGACCAGCAUCUGCCUGCAACCUCGUGAAAGACCUGGACCCAGAUCCUCCUAUUCAAGUUACUCCCAAAUUCUGGACCCACAGCAGCUGUGAGAGAUAAUAAAUAAUUACUGUUAUUUGAAGCCCUGAAACUUUGGGGUAGUUUUCUAUGCAGGAAUAAAUAAUCAUCGUCUCAUUAUUCAAUUGAAAACUAUAAAGGUGCAUAGGACCCAGCAAUUCCAUUUCUAGAUAUAUACCCAAGAGAAUUGAAAACAUAUAUCCAACGAAAACUUGUACACUGUGUUCACUGCAGCAUGAUUCACAAUAGCCAAACAGUGGAAAGAACCCAAUGGUCAUCAUCUGAUGCACAGAUAAAUUAAUGUAUAUCCACACGGUGGAGUAUCAUUCAACCGUAAAAAGGAGUGAAGUACAGAUCAAUGCUACAGCGUGGAUGAACCUUGAAAACGUCAGGCUAAGUGAAGGAAGCUCCUCACAAAAGACCACAUAAUGAUUCAUGUAUAUGAAAUGUCCACAAUAGGCAAAUCUAUAGAGAUGGAGAGUGAAUUAGUGGUUGCCAGGCUGGGGGUACGGGAGAAUGAGAGGUAACUGUUACUGGGCAUAAGGUUUCUUUUUGGGGUGAUGAAAAUGUUCUAAAAUUAAUUGUGGGGGCGCCUGGGUGGCACAGUGGUUAAGUGUCUGCCUUCAGCUCAGGGCGUGAUCCCGGCGUUAUGGGA